rnacentral:rRNA from 1 species
UACAGAGGUCUCAAGCGUUGUUCGGAUUCAUUGGGCGUAAAGGGUGCGUAGGUGGCAUGGUAAGUCGGAUGUGAAAUCCCGGGGCUCAACCCCGGAACUGCAUUCGAUACUGCUGCGCUAGAGUACUGGAGAGGAGAUUGGAAUUUACGGUGUAGCAGUGAAAUGCGUAGAUAUCAGGAGGAACACCGGUGGUGUAGACGGCUUUCUGGACCGUAACUGACGCUGAGACACGAAAGCGUGGGUAGCAAACAGG